AUGCCUUACACAUGCAAGUCGAACGGCAGCACGGGAGCAAUCCUGGUGGCGAGUGGCGAACGGGUGAGUAUAUAUCGGAACGUGCCCAGUCGUGGGGGAGUAACGUAAGCGAAAGCUACGCUAAUACCGCAUACGAUCUACGGAUGAAANCGGGGGAUCGCAAGACCUCGCGCGAUUGGAGCGGCCGAUAUCAGAUUAGGUAGUUGGUGAGGUAAAGGCUCACCAAGCCGACGAUCUGUAGCUGGUCUGAGAGGACGACCAGCCACACUGGGACUGAGACACGGCCCAGACUCCUACGGGAGGCAGCAGUGGGGAAUUUUGGACAAUGGGCGCAAGCCUGAUCCAGCAAUGCCGCGUGCAGGAUGAAGGCCUUCGGGUUGUAAACUGCUUUUGUACGGAACGAAACGGUGAGCUCUAAUACAGUUUGCUAAUGACGGUACCGUAAGAAUAAGCACCGGCUAACUACGUG
rnacentral:rRNA from 1 species